rnacentral:rRNA from 1 species
GUAGGGUGCGAGCGUUAAUCGGAAUUACUGGGCGUAAAGCGUGCGCAGGCGGUUUCUUAAGCCAGACGUGAAAUCCCCGGGCUUAACCUGGGAACUGCGUUUGGAACUGGGAGACUAGAGUACGGCAGAGGGAGGUGGAAUUCCACGUGUAGCAGUGAAAUGCGUAGAGAUGUGGAGGAACACCGAUGGCGAAGGCAGCCUCCUGGGCCUGUACUGACGCUCAUGCACGAAAGCGUGGGGAGCAAACAGGAUUAGAUACCCUGGUAGUCCACGCCCUAAACGAUGUCAACUGGCUGUUGGGAGCGCAAGUUCUCAGUAGCGAASSUAACGCGUGAAGUUGACCGCCUGGGGAGUACGGCCGCAAGGUUG